CAGUCGCCACGGUAAUACGAAGGGUGCAAGCGUUAAUCGGAAUUACUGGGCGUAAAGCGUGCGUAGGCGGUGAGUUAAGUCUGCUGUGAAAUCCCCGGGCUCAACCUGGGAAUGGCAGUGGAUACUGGCUCGCUAGAGUGUGUCAGAGGAUGGUGGAAUUCCCGGUGUAGCGGUGAAAUGCGUAGAGAUCGGGAGGAACAUCAGUGGCGAAGGCGGCCAUCUGGGACAACACUGACGCUCAUGCACGAAAGCGUGGGGAGCAAACAGGAUUAGAUACCCCAGUAGUCCCUGUCUCUUAUAC
rnacentral:rRNA from 1 species